rnacentral:rRNA from 1 species
CGUUCCCGGGUCUUGUACACACCGCCCGUCACACCAUGGGAGUGGGUUUUACCAGAAGUAGGUAGCUUAACCGCAAGGAGGGCGCUUACCACGGUAGGAAUUCGUGACUGGGGUG